GCUGGCGCUCGGAAAUUGUGUCGUGGUGGUGGCGCCCCCUGGCGGCGGCGGCGCCGCACAGCGGCUACGGAAGGCUCUGGUGGCCGCGGGGCUCCCGGGUGAUGCCCUGACGGUGCUUCCCGGGGAUUCCCGGGGGUCCGGCUCUCGCCUGGCGCGACAGCACCCGGACGGGCUCUGGAUCUGCGGGGGGGACGCGGACUGCGACUGGGCCGCUGCCGUGAGCGUCCCCCGCGUUUGGGGGGUCCCGGAGGG